AAGUCGUAACAAGGUUUCCGUAGGUGAACCUGCGGAAGGAUCAUUAAUAAAAUGAAAUUUUUUGGGGUUUUCCUUGAAAAAUAAUUCACCUUUUGUGCAUUGUUAAUAGAUAUACUUUGGUUAGAGCUUUGAUUUCAUCAUUUUUGAUUUCAUUUUUGAUUUCAUUUUUUGAAGUCAACUUCUUGCUGACUCUAUCCUUUCUGAGGACAGUUGGCUAUGAAGCGGCCUACCAAGGUUUUUUAUCAAACUCUUAUAUUUUGUCUGACCUAAAUAUCAAUAAUUAAAUCAUAACUUUCAACAACGGAUCUCUUGGCUCUC
rnacentral:misc_RNA from 1 species